CUACGGGCUGCACCAGUGGGGAAUAUUGCACAAUGGGCGCAAGCCUGAUGCAGCAACGCCGCGUGAACGAAGAAGGUUUUCGGAUCGUAAAGUUCUUUUCUUGGGGAAGAAACCAUGACGGUACCCAAGGAAUAAGCACCGGCUAACUACGUGCCAGCAGCCGCGGUAAUACGUAGGGUGCAAGCGUUAUCCGGAAUCACUGGGCGUAAAGGGUGCGUAGGCGGUUUUGCAAGUCAGAAGUGAAAGGCAAUGGCUCAACCAUUGUAAGCUUUUGAAACUGUAAGACUUGAAUGCAGGAGAGGUAAGUGGAAUUCCUAGUGUAGCGGUGAAAUGCGUAGAUAUUAGGAGGAACACCAGUGGCGAAGGCGACUUACUGGACUGUUAUUGACGCUGAGGCACGAAAGCGUGGGGAGCGAACAGGAUUAGAUACCCCGGUAGUC
rnacentral:rRNA from 1 species